CGGCCGCGGGANNUCGAUUGGAGUUUGAUUAUGGCUCAGAUUGAACGCUGGCGGAAUGCUUUACACAUGCAAGUCGAACGGCAGCACGGGGGCAACCCUGGUGGCGAGUGGCGAACGGGUGAGUAAUACAUCGGAACGUGCCCAGUCGUGGGGGAUAACUACGCGAAAGCGUAGCUAAUACCGCAUACGAUCUACGGAUGAAAGCGGGGGAUCGCAAGACCUCGCGCGAUUGGAGCGGCCGAUGGCAGAUUAGGUAGUUGGUGGGGUAAAGGCUCACCAAGCCUGCGAUCUGUAGCUGGUCUGAGAGGACGACCAGCCACACUGGGACUGAGACACGGCCCAGACUCCUACGGGAGGCAGCAGUGGGGAAUUUUGGACAAUGGGCGCAAGCCUGAUCCAGCCAUUCCGCGUGCAGGAUGAAGGCCCUCGGGUUGUAAACUGCUUUUGUACGGAACGAAAAGGCUCUCUCUAAUACGGGGGGCUCAUGACGGUACCGUAAGAAUAAGCACCGGCUAACUACGUGCCAGCAGCCGCGGUAAUACGUAGGGUGCAAGCGUUAAUCGGAAUUACUGGGCGUAAAGCGUGCGCAGGCGGUGAUGUAAGACAGUUGUGAAAUCCCCGGGCUCAACCUGGGAACUGCAUCUGUGACUGCAUCGCUGGAGUGCGGCAGAGGGGGAU
rnacentral:rRNA from 1 species